rnacentral:lncRNA from 1 species
AAUUCAGAUGUCAUGGUUCCUUUGGCUCCUUCAAUAGAAACAGUAAAGGGCCCUGGACUCAAACUCCCUCUGUGCAAGUCCUGGCUGUGUUUCUUGCUACCGGCGUAAUGUGCUAUUUAAGCAGCAGUGCAUGUCUCCUCACAUUUGAAAAUAUUGAUUGGGUCUUGAAGACAGAAUAACAAGCGCCAGAACUCAAGCAUUUUGCCAGGAGUGGUGCUGCCUCAUCAGUACUUCAGAUCCAGGCAGGGAAACUGUCAGCAGAACUGCUCCAAAGUCUGCUUUGUGAAAUGCACAUAAGCGGUCUCCCAGACCCACUUUCCAUCCUUCUCCUUUCUGAGGAGGAGGUGGUUAGAAAAAAAAGAAGAAGACAACAAAAGAGUAGAUGAGAGAGAUGUGGCAAAAGAAGAGGCAGAAGAGAAGAGGCAAGAGAAGGAUUCUCCCACCCAUUGCUGUCUUUAGAGAUGCAGGCUAUGAGCCAAAAAGCACAGAUAGCUCCGGAAGCUGAGGACAAGCCACACUGCCCACACUCCCGCAACUGCCCAGAACUGAAUUUUGCCAAUUACCUGCAUAAAUCAGAAAAUGGAUGCUCACUAGAGUCUCCAGAAGGGAGCCUGGCUUGCUGACACCUAGAUUUUUGUCUUGUGAGACUGAUCAGAGGAAUUAUCCCAGCACACUUGACUUCUGAAAUUGUGAUAUAUCUAUGCCUGCAGAAACCCAUGACAUGCAGAAACUAUGAGUUAA